CUUUUAUUUAUUUUAUUGUGCAUUUUUAUUUCUUAUAUCCUUAUUUUCGGAUUUGCCUUUGUUUUAGUGGGUUUUUAUCUUGUUUUGGGCCGAAUUCUUUCAUAUUUCGGGCCCAGCCCAUUGCACCCAUGACCCAGCCCCCUUUCUCUUCUAAACGGCGUCGCUUUGCCUACCCCUCUUUUCUUCUCCUUCCUUCAAUCUUCCUGCAUGCCUCUUUCUUUCUUCAAUUUCUUUUCCUCUUCUUCUCCUACACGCCGGCUGCUUCUUCUUCACUGGUAAUAUUUUCUUGCUUCUUUCUUCUUCUUCUUCUUCUUCUUCUUCUUCAUUUGUUUCCCUUUUCUCCCCCUGCUGCGCCGACUAUACUACUUCUUCCUUCGAAAAUUUUUGCUUCGUCUUCGUGCUGUGUGCCAAAGCAUCUUCCUCCAUUUUCGUCCGGUAUUGUUCCUCAUUUCAAGCUCUUUAAUUUUCGGGUUCCUCUUGCUGUAGAAUCGUGUAUUUCCUUCAUUUAUCUUGCAUUUAUUUCCUCUGUUUUUCUCCAUUGUUGAGGUCUGGCUGAGCUUCUUUGUGUGUCUCAUCCUCUUCUUUAUUUCUUGUUUAUUUCAUGAUAUUUUGGUGUAAAACUCCUGCUAUCUUCUUGGGUUGAUCAUGAAUUUCUGCUCUGUUUUUAUACCCGGAAUUGCUCUGUUUUUCUUGGUCAUUUUGUGUCCGGAUUUUCCUCUUUUUAUCUCUAUUAUUUUCGUGUACAAGAUUUUGGGUAAAACCUUGUGAUUUUCUGAAGUUUUUCUCUCCAACACCGUGAUGUGUAGCUGGUCCUUGCCGUGCCCUGUUUUGCUCUUGUAGCCGAGGACUCCAUUUAUAUUUCUUGUGAGCUUUUAGUUCAAACCGUGUGAUACAUUUCCAGGCAUUUAUCUCAAGCUUAUUUUCAGUAAAAAUCAACCCAUUUUAUUUCGAAAAUUUCACUUUAAAUCCCUUUGUUUUUUAAACCCAUUUUAGUCUAAAAAUAUUGCAAUAUUUAGUCGUUUAUUUUCAAGCUAGCUUUUGGGAUUUAAUCAGGUGCGUGAUCUUUCAGAAAUUAAAAGCAUUGUAAGUAUUUUCUUAACAAAUUUUGUGAUUUUGAAUAUAUUUAUGCUUUAACAAAUAAUCUGUAAUUGGUUUGUUGUGCCGGACUGUGUCCGACGAGUUUGGAGGUCGGUUGGAAUGGAAGAUGGAAUUGUUUGUUGAUUGGAUGAUGUUGGGUUUGUUGGAUAUUUUUGUGUCUUGUCGUAUGCAUUACAUGGUGCAUGCAUGUUCAUGUUUGUAAAUGAAAACUGGAUUUUCAUAUGUUAAAUAGAUUUUUGGGUGCGUAUGUAUCACGACUCCAAGCCGAAAUGUAGCAUUAUCUCAGUGGAGCUCCUCUGGUCACUCGUGAGUGGAAUAUACUGAGUGACAUCUCCUGAGUUGUCGCUGGACGACAACGAGAUUGGAUGGGAUAGUAAUGCUCUCGUGCCGACUAUGUGGCCCCUCUGUUGGCGCAUGCUAGAGGAUGCUGGGCUACGAACGCUUUGGGCUCGGAACUGGGCAUCACUUAUUACGAAGUCACACGCAUGGUCGUUACCCAUGGUGUGACGAAGGGAGCCAAGAUUUUGUUGUAGAUGACGAAGAGGUUGGGCCCGAGGAGGCGGCUUCAUCAGAGGAGUAGAUUGGCAUCUCUGCUUAUAAUUGUUGGAGAUUAUUUUUUGCUUUUAAAUUAUGUAUUUUGGAUUAUAACUUCAUUACUUUAAUUUGUAAUAUUUUUGGUACGCUUAUUUUAAGCGACAUUGUAUUUAAAUAAUUUAUUGUAUUUAGUCGACUGACCUUAUUUA